rnacentral:rRNA from 1 species
CAGCAGCCACGGUAAUACGAAGGGUGCAAGCGUUACUCGGAAUUACUGGGCGUAAAGCGUGCGUAGGUGGUGGUUUAAGUCCGUUGUGAAAGCCCUGGGCUCAACCUGGGAAUUGCAGUGGAUACUGGGUCACUAGAGUGUGGUAGAGGAUAGUGGAAUUUCCGGUGUAGCAGUGAAAUGCGUAGAGAUCGGAAGGAACAUCUGUGGCGAAGGCGACUAUCUGGGCCAACACUGACACUGAGGCACGAAAGCGUGGGGAUCAAACAGGAUUAGAUACCCCUGUAGUCCCUGUCUCUUAUAA